CAACGUAAGGGGACUAGGGUCCUUCCUCCAACAGUAGUAGACUAGGAUCCACCCUCCAUAAGCAGUGGACUAGAGCCCAUCCUCCAACACCAGAGACUAGGGUCCAACCUUCAACACCAGCGGACUAGGUUCCACACUACAACACCAGUGGACUAGGAUACACUCUGAAAAACCUGUGGACUAGGGUCCACCCUCCAUAAGGGGACUAGGGCCAUCGUCCAACACCAGUGGACUAGGGUCAACCCUCCAACAGCAGUGGACUAGAAUUCCCCCUCCAAAACCUGUGGACUAGGAUCCACCUUCUAACACCAGUGGCCUAGGGUUCACCCUCCACCAGUGGACUAGGAUCCACCCUUAACACAAGUGGACUGGGAUCCACACUCCAACACCAGUGGAGUAGGUUCCACCAUCCAUCACCAGUGGACUAGGAUUCACACUCCAUCAGCAGGUGAAAUCGCAGAUCUAGAGAGUGUACAGAGAUCCUUUACUGCACGUAUAAGUUCUGUCAAGCACCUUAACUACUGGGAACGCUUGGAAGCACUUGACUUGUACUCCUUGGAACGCAGGAGGGAGAGAUAUAUCAUAAUCUACACUUGGAAAAUCUUGGAAGGAAUGGUCCCAAAUCUGCACACAGAAAUCACUCCCUACGAAAGUAAAAGACUGGGCAGGCGAUGCAAAAUGCCGCCAAUAAAAAGUAGGGGCGCCAUUGGUACACUAAGAGGAAACACCAUAAGUGUCCGGGGCCCAAAACUGUUUAACAGCCUCCCAUCAAGCAUUAGGGGAAUUGCCAAUAAACCCCUGGCUGCUUUCAAGAGAGAGCUGGACAGAUACCUAAAGUCAGUGCCGGAUCAGCCGGGCUGUGGCUCGUACGUUGGACUGCGUGCGGCCAGCAGUAACAGCCUAGUUGAUCAGGCCCUGAUCCAUCGGGAGGCCUGGUCAUGGACCGGGCCGCGGGGGCGUUGAUCUCCGGAAUAACCUCCAGGUAACCAGUGGACUAGGAUCCACCCUUAACACCAGUGGACUAGGAUACACUCUGAAAAACCUGUGGACUAGAGUCCACCCUCCAUAAGGGGACUAGGGUCCAUCGUCCAACACCAGUGGACGAGGAUCCACACUCCAACACCAGUGGACUAGGGUCCACCAUCCAUCACCAGUGGACUACGAUCCUCCCUAAAACACCAGUGGACUAGGGUCCACCCUACAUCAGUGGACUAGGAUCCACCUUCCAAAACCAGUGGACUAGGGUCCAUUCUCGACAAGGGAACUAGGAUAAACCCCCCAAAAAAAGUGUACUAGGGUCCAUCCACCAAAACAAGUGGACUAGGGUCCACCCUUAGACACCAGAGGACCAGGAUUCACCCUCCAAAACCUGUGGACUAGGGUCCAUCCUCCAACAGCAGUGGACUAGGAUUCACCCUCCAAAACCUGUGGACUAGGGUCCACCCUUCAACCCCAGCGGACUGAGGUCCACCCUUCAACACUAGUGGACUAGGAUCCACCUUCUAACACCAGUGGCCUAGGGUCCACCCUCCACCAGUGGACUAGGAUCCACCCUAAACACAAGUGGACUAGCAUCCACCAUCCAAUACCAGUGGACUAGGUUCCACCAUCCAUGACCAGUGGACUAGGAUCCACCCUCCAGUAACAGCGGGCUAGGAUUCUACCCUCCAACACCAGUGGACUAGUAUCCACCCUGCAAAACCAGUGGAAUAGGGUCCACUCUCCAACACCAGUGGACUAGGGUCCCCCCUCCAACAACAGUGGACUAGGUUCCACCCUCCAACAACAGUGGACUAGGGUUCAUCCUCCAACAUCAGUGGACUAGGAUCCACCCUCCAAUACCAGUGGACUAGGAUCCACCCUGCAAAAUCAAUGGAAUAGGGUCCACUUUCCAACACCAGUGGACUAGGAUCCACCCUGCAACAACAGUGGACUAGGGUCCAUCCUCCAACAACAGUGGACUAGGGUCCAUCCUCCAACACUAGUGGACUAGGAUCCACCCUGCAAAACCAAUGGAAUAGGGUCCACCCUCCAACAACAGUGGACUAGGGUCCACCCUCCAACAACAGUGGACUAGGGUCCACCCUCCAACAACAGUGGACUAGGGUCCACCCUCCAACAACAGUGGACUAGGGUCCACCCUCCAACAACAGUGGACUAGGGUCCAUCCUCCAACAACAGUGGACUAGGGUCCAUCCUCCAACACCAUUCUUAAUUUCAUAACAUUCUAGCUCCAUUCCUAUUUUUGUAACAUACUAGGUACAUUCCUAGUUUCCUAACAUACUACAUACAUUUGUACUAGUUUCACAAAUAAGACAAUGUUCAUUCCUAGUUUCAUAAUAGACUAGGGUCACUUCUAGUUACAAAACUAGGAGACUAGGUUCACUCCGUUUCACAAUACACUAUUAUUAUUAUUAUAAUCAAAAAGAAGCUUUAAGCCUCACAAUACACUAGCUUCACCCCUAGUUGCAAAACUAGCAGACUAAGUUCACUUCUAGUUACAAAACUAGGAGACUAGGUUCACUCCGUUUCACAACUAAUACACCAAGUUCACCCGUUACAAAACGAGCAGACUAGGUUCACUGCUAGUUUCACUAACAGACUAGGUUCACUCCUAGUUUUACAAUGACUAGGUUCACUCCUAGUUUUACAAUAGACCAUGGUCGUUCCUGGUUUCAAAACUUUAGACUAGGUUUAUUACUAGUUUCAAAAGAAACAUAUUAAAUUUCUUUGAUCAUCGAUCAAUCAGUAUUCUUGGCAACCUAAGAUUAAAAAAAAAAAUUCUACCACGAAUAAAAUAUGAUCAUUGCAAGUUUAAUUUUAAAAUUAACAUUUGAUAUCAAAGUCAAAAAGCUCUCCCAAAAAUUCCCACAGUCUUUUCAGCCAACCCAGUAUUUGUAACGACAAUGUUGUAGAUUACAACUUUGGUUUCACAACUUACAAAGUGCAUUCAAUGAUUUCACGAUAAUUCUUUUAUGACAAACUGGUAUGCCUCUGUCUUUACAUUAUACUGCAUUCCUGGCUUUACAUUAAACUGCAUUCCUGACUUUACAUUAUACUGUAUUCCUGGCUUUUCAGCAAGUAACCUUGUACAAAACACUACAAAAUAUUUUUUGUAUUCCACACAAUCUUGCACUGCAGCGUAGCAAAUGCAAAAAUUUAAUAAGCGUGUUGAACAUUCCAGCCCAUAAAACUGAACUCCAUGAAAUAUAUAUCAGCGUUAGAUGUACGUCUUUAUACAAUUAGGUAUCUCUUCCGCCUAAUGAUAGACAAGAGUAUCGAGCUUCACCACUUCCCACAUUAAAUAUUGUAAACACAAACUGAUACAAUAAUUUAGGAAUUACCAUUAAAGUUACAAGAUGUACGAAUUUUGAACAGGAAGCUAAACGUACUAAAAAUAAGAGAUCAGCGAGUCAAUUGCUCCAUCAUUGCACAUCAAAAAAAAAUUCCUAGUUUCGGUAGCCUCAUGCACCAAGUACAUUGAAAAUACUUCUAAAAUUCUGUAUUUGAGUUUAAAAAAACUUACCUGGGGUUACCUCUGCCAAGUUGCCGUUGAAAUGUGUGGACACAAGUUUCCUGUCAAGUUGAUUUACCUGAGAAACACAUCUGUAUAAAAUAAUCUUUAAGUGGGAAAAAACCCCACGGUGAUUGUUGUUGUAUCGAAGUGUUACAGAUUGUUGGCGAUUGUAGUAGUGGUGGUUACUGCAGUGUUGACUGGUGGUUUUUAAGUGCCAGGUUAAUUACAGAGCAACGUAAA